GUAGAAUAUCAGCUCAAAAGUAUUGUGGCGCUAAUGCACCAAAAUAUAAACAGUAGCAGCAUGAGUACCAGAACCUGUUUCAGUCCAAGUCGCGCACUGAUAAGAAGUGAUCAGUUCCACUCUGCCCUGGUGUUUUCCUGCAGUCGACCAGCCGCACAGAAACCCUCUUCAGAUCCAGCAGUAAGGCACUCCCAGGAGAGUUGUGACCAGGGGAC